CCAGGGUUACGGCCAAGACGCCAUUGAGGUGUUGGAUGUCUUGGAGCUGCCAGGCCGCCCCAAGCUUAGCAGCAAUAGAAUAAAUAUCAUUCAGAAUAGACCGCCAGUCAAUGAGUUUUGAGGCAUUUGUUUGAACGAGCAGAGAGGAUGUGUCUAUACACUUCAGAAAGUAUGCUACUACCAUCAGCAGUUAUAUCAUCAAUGAAGAUAAGUGAGCCCGUACCUACAGCAGCCAUACAUGCCCAGGCCAUAACACCCCACACCGUGUUUCACAGAUGACGUGGUAUUCUUUGAAUCUUGGGCAGUUCUUCUCUCCACCAUACUUUGCUCUUGCCAUCACUCUGAUAUAAGUUAAUCUUUGUAUCAUGUGUCCACAAGACCUUUUUCCAGAACUGUGUUUGCUCUUUUAAGUACUUCUUGGCAAACUGUAACCUGGCCAUCCUAAGUUUGCGGCUAACCAGUUGAUUGCAUCUUUCAGUGUUGCCUCUGUAUUUCUGUUCAUGAAGUCUUCUCAUGACAGUGGUCAUUAACAAAUCCACUCCUGACGCCUGAAGAGUGUUUCUGAUCAGUCGGUCAGGUGUUUGGGGAUUUUUCUUUAUUAUGGAGAGAAUUCUUCUGUCAUCAGCUGUGGAGAUCUUCCAUGGCCUGCCAGUCCCUUUGCAAUUAGUAAGCUCUUUUUCUUCUUGAUGUUCCAAACAAUUGAUUUUGGUAAGCCUAAUGUUUUGCUGAUGUCUCUAACAGUUUUAUUCUUGUUUCUCAGUCUCAUAAUGGCUUAUUUGACUUUUAUUGGCACAACUUUGGUUCUCAUGUAGAUAAACAGCAAUAAAAGUUUCCAAACGUGAUGGAAAGGCUGGAGGAAAGACUAGGUGCUGAGAGCUCUCUUAUACCUGCAUUGAGGAGGCAUUUAAACACACCUGAGAAAUUACAAACACCUGUGAAGCCAUGUGUCCCAAACAUUAUGGUGCCCUGAAAUGGGGGGACCAUGUAUAAACACAGCUGUAAUUUCUACAUGGUGAAACCAAAAUGUAUAAAAUGCCAUUUAAUAAAAUCUGAAAAUGCACU